CAAACGGCUGAGACCGGUUAAUGGACUACAGCUGCCAGCAUGCGCAGCGAGGGGCUCCACCUGCCGCCGCGCCACUCCGUGCGCCGAGGGCGGUUCCAGCACGCCCCGCGGAGGCCGGAUGACCCCCAAGUCACGCCCACGUGACCCAGCGAGGCCCGGCGGGCCCAGAGCGGCGGGAUUCGUUUUGAUAUCGUGGUCCUGCGUCUCCGCGAGACGCCGCUGGGGCGACUUGUCGUGGCGGAAGUUGGACUUCUCGCAGACAACUGCAAGGAUCCUCCCUCUGGACCGGGUGGUCAGGCUCGCUCCAGAGCUGGCUUUGGACUCCGGCUGGCUGAACGGUCCACUCCUUGGUCAGACCUCUUGGAAGGACUGCCCCAGCCAUGUUAUAAAAGGAGGAAACGUCACAGUGGGCAGCCCCCAUUCCUGCGUUAGACAGACAGGAAACAGGCGCACAGUUCUGCAUUGCUACCUGCUUGUCAAAUGAGUAUUGGCCACCCCAGUUCUGUGCAGAGAGGAUGCAAAACAGCAGAGUAUCUGUGGUGCAACUUUCUGGAGCAUCAAUUUUACUACAACGUUUGGAAGAAACAAAGUUAAGUAGUUUCCAAGAGAGGAGUCCUCGAGUGGACACUUCCUGUUUCCCGUUGUUUCAUUUCCAGAGAGGAGUCCUCUCCGUGGGCACUUCCUGUUUCUCGUUGUUUGGACACGAGAUGGACGGUCAUAGUGGCCUCUUCCCAGGGAAGUACGACUUCUCCUCUAAGGUAUUGGUGAGAUGCAUAUUAUAUCAUCAUAAUUGGGAUCUCAGAAGCUACAGCUGAUAUGGCAUGGAAUGAAUUCCUUUUAAUAAAUUAAAAGAAAACAUUUAAAGAUAUGCCUUCAAAGGUGAUGACAGAUAUGUAAAUCCUUUAAUCCAAACCAUUGCAUCAUGUUAAGGCUGAUCGGUGAACAGGCUGGAAAGAUUAAGACAAUGGCUCUUCUAAAGAGCAGCUUUGUGGACCACCACAAUCUCAGCAGGGAGUGUGCCUGCUGUUUUAUUUUAUAAUUUUUAGACAUUGAAACAGUCAUAAACUCACAGAAACACUGAGAGUACAGCACAUAUAACUUUACUCCUUGAAUUAUUUGAGAUAAGUUUUGGCAUUGAGGCAUCAUAAUUGUCAAUACUUCAGUGUCCAAAGACCAUCUGCCAGGUGACCACAACACAACAAUGAAGACAGAGAAGUUGACACUGAAACCUAACCCUGACCCUCUAACCCCAACGCUAACCAUAACCUUGACGCUCUAACCCCAACCCUAACCCUAACCCUGACCCUCUAACUCCAACCCUAACCCUAACCCUAACCCUGACCCUCUAACCCUAACCCCAACCC
rnacentral:lncRNA from 1 species